AUUGCCCUAGUAACGGCGAGUGAAGCGGCAACAGCUCAAAUUUGAAAUCUGGCCCUAGUGGUCCGAGUUGUAAUUUGUAGAGGAUGCUUUGGGUGCGGUGCCUUCUGAGUUCCCUGGAACGGGACGCCAGAGAGGGUGAGAGCCCCGUACGGUUGGACACCUAGCCUAUAUAUAGCUCCUUCGACGAGUCGAGUAGUUUGGGAAUGCUGCUCUAAAUGGGAGGUAUAUUUCUUCUAAAGCUAAAUACCGGCCAGAGACCGAUAGCGCACAAGUAGAGUGAUCGAAAGAUGAAAAGCACUUUGAAAAGAGGGUUAAAUAGCACGUGAAAUUGUUGAAAGGGAAGCGUUUGCGACCAGACCUUUUCCGGGCGGAUCAUCCGGCGUUCUCGCCGGUGCACUUCGCCCGGUUUAGGCCAGCAUCGGUUUUCUUAGGGGGAUAAAGACCAGGGGAACGUAGCUCUCUAGGGAGUGUUAUAGCCCCUGGUGCAAUACCCUUCGGGGGACCGAGGACCGCGCUUUUGCAAGGAUGCUGGCGUAAUGGUCGUCAACGACCCGUCUUGAAACACGGACCAAGGAGUCGAACAUUGGUGCGAGUGUUUGGGUGUUAAACCCUCACGCGUAAUGAAAGUGAACGGAGGUGAGAGCCCUUACGGGUGCAUCAUCGACCGAUCCUGAUGUCUUCGGAUGGAUUUGAGUAAGAGCAUCACUGUUCGGACCCGAAAGAUGGUGAACUAUGCGUGGAUAGGGUGAAGCCAGAGGAAACUCUGGUGGAGGCUCGCAGCGGUUCUGACGUGCAAAUCGAUCGUCAAAUCUGCGC
rnacentral:rRNA from 1 species